rnacentral:rRNA from 1 species
CACGUAGGGCGCAAGCGUUGUCCGGAAUUAUUGGGCGUAAAGAGCUCGUAGGCGGUCUGUUACGUCUGCUGUGAAAACCCAGGGCUUAACCCUGGGCUUGCAGUGGAUACGGGCAGACUAGAGGCAGGUAGGGGAGAAUGGAAUUCCCGGUGUAGCGGUGAAAUGCGUAGAUAUCGGAAGGAACACCGGUGGCGAAAGCGGCGCGCUGGAUCCCUACUGACGCUGAGGCACGAAAGCCAGGGGAGCAAACGGG